rnacentral:rRNA from 1 species
UACGUAGGGACCGAGCGUUGUCCGGAAUCAUUGGGCGUAAAGAGCGUGUAGGCGGCUCGCUAAGUCUUGCGUGAAAUCUCGGGGCUCAACCCCGAGCGGUCGUGAGAAACUGGCGGGCUAGAGUGCGGGAGAGGAGAGUGGAAUUCCUGGUGUAGCGGUGAAAUGCAUAGAGAUCGGGAGGAACACCAGUGGCGAAAGCGGCUUCCUGGUCCGACACCGACGUUCAGGCACGAAAGCGUGGGGAGCAAACAGG